GAUCAAAUAUUUUUUUCCUCACAAACUGUCCACAAACAGACUGGGCGCUACAGCUCCUUCAUCAUCACAUUCUAGACAGAACACAGAACAUUCCUCUGGGAGGCACUACAGGAGCUUAUAAUGGCAAAACAAACUGAAACACAGCUUUAUUUCAAAAGGACACUGAAGAAUGUAGACACAAGCCACUUAUUUUAUUUAACUCAACCACUGCACUGUUAGAAUCAGAUUUCCAUGAUACCUUGUGAUUCUUCUUUCAAUGUAUCCUGGAGUUUCAAUAUAAAUUUCUGCUAAAGGCUAUGUCUGUUUUAAAUGGGGCACCCUGAAGGCUCAAGAUCACUGCUAUCAUUGCCAUAAUUGAUUAUCAGUCUCUGUGAGCAGAGAUUUCCCUGGAUUCUCUGAAUAAUUGUGUAAAAUUAUACACCUUGGAUGAUGAAACUCUUUGUAAUAUGUCAUGGGGAAAUGUUAUUUUUAGUGUUAAACUAUUUACCAACAGUUACCUUUCGAUAGACCAAACUUGAAUGACUCCCAGGUAAAUUAAAGUCUGCACGCUUUGAAAAUUAUUGCUUUCUUUUAUACAUCAUCUCAUUUGCCCUCUGACUCUUAAAAUUCUGCAAAAAAAAAAUCAGCUUCUACGUUAAAUCCUCAUUCCAUCCUUGAUGUCUCCACUUUGACCUCUGGAAAGUUUUUUGAUUUUCCUGUUUUUUUUCAUCAGCAGAGUUUGCUGCCAGUUCUGCAGCCAGGCACACUCAGCGACAAAAAUAUCUCACGGACCCCACCGCGCGCAGAUGGCCUCUCAGCUUGUCUCGUCACGACUCACCGUCUAUUACAGGAGGUUUUGUGAUGGACGGUCAGCUUCUGAAGGAGAACUUCUUCCAUUGGACUUUCCAAGAACUCCGGACCUAUCGGUUUGUCCAAAAACCUCAACAAUAUCCAUGGAUUUGGGCAUGUCGGCUUUUACAUUUUUGGGAGAACUCAUGUGAGGACACCUGUUCAUCUGAGCAUGGUGACAAUAUUUGUGCAAUCAACCGUGUGCAUAAAUGUGUGUGUCUGUGUGUGUUUGCUUGCUUGCAUAUGCGAGCACCUAGCCAUUUGUGCAUAUCCGUGUGAUGUGAUGUGCAUGAUGGGUGGUAGCGAAGCAUAUUUGCCUCCCAGCUAUAUCAUUUGCAUACUUGUCACAGCCUCUGCGUUGGGUGUCAGGUUCAGUGAUGCAUGUUGUUUUUCCACUGGCAGCUCUGGCAUUCACGGAGUCCUGCUGUUACGGUGACGUGCACAUCAAGUGUUGCUGCGUCGGCCGACAGUCAGACAUCACACACAUGCAGAGAGGUGACGCAGCUAUCAACUUGUGACGUCACUCAGAGCUGUUGAGCAGCCCAACAAUGCUCUGCUUGAUUAGACUGCAAGUGAAAAACUCAACCUCUGGUGAAAAUCUGCAAGCUUGCUGAAUUGGAAAGUCUGAAAAAAUUCCUCAGAAUGUCCAACCUGUGCCAGAUAAACAGCCUCUAUCACCUUGGAGAAACACUUUUGAGGCUGAGUCGGAUUGAUGUGCAAGAGAUUAUUCCCGCCCUGUAAGCUGUGGAAAGGGAUGUUCAGAACUGUAGGUCCAGGCACCCAGUCUGGUUCAUAGAGAGGCUGUUCUCUGGUGUUGGAACCUGCAGUACCUGAAAGGUCUUCCUCCAUUUAAAUAAAUUGCUUUUCUUCUCUUUCCAACUUUUGUUCAGACAUAAGUCUGUACAAAUAAUUGUGUUUACUUGUGUUUACCUCAGAUAAAUGUGACAUUUAUAGAAA